rnacentral:rRNA from 1 species
UGGGGAAUUUUGGACAAUGGGCGAAAGCCUGAUCCAGCAAUGCCGCGUGUGUGAAGAAGGCCUUCGGGUUGUAAAGCGCUUUUGUCCGGAAAGAAAUCCUUGGCUCUAAUACAGUCGGGGGAUGACGGUACCGGAAGAAUAAGCACCGGCUAACUACGUGCCAGCAGCCGCGGUAAUACGUAGGGUGCAAGCGUUAAUCGGAAUUACUGGGCGUAAAGCGUGCGCAGGCGGUUUGCUAAGACCGAUGUGAAAUCCCCGGGCUCAACCUGGGAACUGCAUUGGUGACUGGCAGGCUAGAGUAUGGCAGAGGGGGGUAGAAUUCCACGUGUAGCAGUGAAAUGCGUAGAGAUGUGGAGGAAUACCGAUGGCGAAGGCAGCCCCCUGGGCCAAUACUGACGCUCAUGCACGAAAGCGUGGGGAGCAAACAGGAUUAGAUACCCUGGUAGUCCACGCCCUAAACGAUGUCAACUAGUUGUUGGGGAUUCAUUCCUUAGUAACGUAGCUAACGCGUGAAGUUGACCGCCUGGGGAGUACGGUCGCAAGAUUAAAACUCAAAUGAAUUGAC